UUAGCAUGGAAUAAUAAAAUAGGACGGUGGUCCUGUUUGUUGGUUUCUGAAUCACCGUAAUGAUUAAUAGGGAUGGUUGGGGCAUUAAUAUUCAAUUGUCAGAGGCGAAAUUCCUGGAUUUAUUGAAGACUAACUUCUGCAAAAGCAUUUGCCAAGGAUGUUUUGAUUAAUCAAGAAUGAAAGUUAGGGGACCAAAAACGACCAGAUACUAUCAUAGUCUUAACCAUAAACUAUGCCGACUAGGGAUCGGACGAUGUUGAUUUUUCUUGACUCGUUCGGCACUUUACG
rnacentral:rRNA from 1 species